CUAAUGGAAAGGAUUAAAGAAUGUUUUUUGUGAAAAAUAUGUUUAGCUGGUAAAUUAAAGGAUAACGAAUCGAUUUAUUAUACGUUUAUCAAAGAAACUGUUGAAACUGUUAUUUUUUUAUUUAUUUCGAAUAAUAAAAAUAUGUAAACACAUAACAUAGAUAACAUACUUUAGAUAUCCGCCAUUUUGUGUUUAAAAAAAGAACAAAUAUUUGAUAUCUAAGUAAUUUAUUUAUCUUUUUAUUACAGCAUUGCCUGAAGUACUUGACAUAUUUGAUCAUGAGGCGGAACAUCUUGAAGGUUUACAGGAGCCCACAGGUUUGGACGGUGUUGAGAGUUACAUCAAUAAGAUUACAGCCGGCGAAGGGCCAGCCGCUCUGCCUGGCAUCUUUUUAGCUCUCAAGUCGGACCCAGAUUGGGAAGCAACCUUCAACAGUCUCAUGGGAGCCAUGAGAGUUAAUG